rnacentral:rRNA from 1 species
UGCAAGUCGAACGAUGAACCGCUUUCGGGCGGGGAUUAGUGGCGAACGGGUGAGUAACACGUGGGCAAUCUGCCCUGCACUCUGGGACAAGCCCUGGAAACGGGGUCUAAUACCGGAUAUGACCGUCUGCCGCAUGGUGGAUGGUGUAAAGCUCCGGCGGUGCAGGAUGAGCCCGCGGCCUAUCAGCUUGUUGGUGAGGUAGUGGCUCACCAAGGCGACGACGGGUAGCCGGCCUGAGAGGGCGACCGGCCACACUGGGACUGAGACACGGCCCAGACUCCUACGGGAGGCAGCAGUGGGGAAUAUUGCACAAUGGGCGAAAGCCUGAUGCAGCGACGCCGCGUGAGGGAUGACGGCCUUCGGGUUGUAAACCUCUUUCAGCAGGGAAGAAGCGAAAGUGACGGUACCUGCAGAAGAAGCGCCGGCUAACUACGUGCCAGCAGCCGCGGUAAUACGUAGGGCGCAAGCGUUGUCCGGAAUUAUUGGGCGUAAAGAGCUCGUAGGCGGCUUGUCACGUCGGUUGUGAAAGCCCGGGGCUUAACCCCGGGUCUGCAGUCGAUACGGGCAGGCUAGAGUUCGGUAGGGGAGAUCGGAAUUCCUGGUGUAGCGGUGAAAUGCGCAGAUAUCAGGAGGAACACCGGUGGCGAAGGCGGAUCUCUGGGCCGAUACUGACGCUGAGGAGCGAAAGCGUGGGGAGCGAACAGGAUUAGAUACCCUGGUAGUCCACGCCGUAAACGGUGGGCACUAGGUGUGGGCAACAUUCCACGUUGUCCGUGCCGCAGCUAACGCAUUAAGUGCCCCGCCUGGGGAGUACGGCCGCAAGGCUAAAACUCAAAGGAAUUGACGGGGGCCC